UACGUAGGGUGCGAGCGUUGCUCGGAAUCACUGGGCGUAAAGGGUGCGUAGGCGGGUUUUUAAGUCGGGGGUGAAAUCCUGGAGCUCAACUCCAGAACUGCCUUUGAUACUGAAGAUCUUGAGUCUGGGAGAGGUGAGUGGAACUGCGAGUGUAGAGGUGAAAUUCGUAGAUAUUCGCAAGAACACCAGUGGCGAAGGCGGCUCACUGGCCCGAUACUGACGCUGAGGCACGAAAGCGUGGGGAGCAAACAGG
rnacentral:rRNA from 1 species